rnacentral:rRNA from 1 species
GACGGAAGGUGCAAGCGUUGCUCGGAAUCACUGGGCGUAAAGGGUGCGUAGGCGGCGAGGUAAGUCGGAUGUGAAAUCCCGGGGCUCAACCCUGGAACUGCAUUCGAUACUGCCUUGCUCGAGGACUCGAGAGGAGAUUGGAAUUCACGGUGUAGCAGUGAAAUGCGUAGAUAUCGUGAGGAAGACCAGUGGCGAAGGCGGAUCUCUGGAGAGUUCCUGACGCUGAGGCACGAAGGCCAGGGGAGCAAACGGG